rnacentral:rRNA from 1 species
UAGGGAAUCUUCGGCAAUGGGGGGAACCCUGACCGAGCAACGCCGCGUGAGUGAAGAAGGUUUUCGGAUCGUAAAGCUCUGUUGUUAAGGAAGAACGAGUGUGAGAAUGGAAAGUUCAUACUGUGACGGUACUUAACCAGAAAGGGACGGCUAACUACGUGCCAGCAGCCGCGGUAAUACGUAGGUCCCGAGCGUUGUCCGGAUUUAUUGGGCGUAAAGCGAGCGCAGGCGGUUAGAUAAGUCUGAAGUUAAAGGCAGUGGCUCAACCAUUGUAGGCUUUGGAAACUGUUUAACUUGAGUGCAGAAGGGGAGAGUGGAAUUCCAUGUGUGGCGGUGAAAUGCGUAGAUAUAUGGAGGAACACCGGUGGCGAAAGCGGCUCUCUGGUCUGUAACUGACGCUGAGGCUCGAAAGCGUGGGGAGCGAACAGG